GACGCUGGCGGCGGGCCUCAUACAUGCAAGUCGAGCGCGAAAGUCCGCAAGGAUGAGUAAAGCGGCGCACGGGUGAGUAACACGUGGAUAAUCUACCCUUUGGACUGGAAUAACCUGUCGAAAGACGGGCUAAUGCCGAGUAAGCUUACGAGUUCGUGAAGUUCUUGUAAGGAAAGAUGGUGCAAGCUAUCGCCGAAGGAUGAGUCUGCGCCCCAUUAGUUAGUUGGUGAGGUAAUGGCUUACCAAGACUAUGAUGGGUACCUGGUCUGAGAGGAUGAUCGGGCACACUGGAACUGAAACACGGUCCAGACUCCUACGGGAGGCAGCAGUAGGGAAUAUUGCGCAAUGGACGAAAGUCUGACGCAGCCACGCCGCGUGAGUGAGGAAGGCCUUCGGGUUGUAAAGCUCUGUCAUUCGGGAAAAAUAGCCAUCCAGGGAAAGUUCGGGUGGUUUGAUGGUACCGAAGGAGGAAGCACCGGCAAACUCUGUG
rnacentral:rRNA from 1 species